GUCAGCAGCCCUACCACCUGCAGUUCAGACUGAGUAAUUUACCUGAAACUAAGUAGAUUUGGGUCUGGCCAGUACUUGCAUGGGGGAUCAAUUAGGAAAGCUGGGUUGCUGCUGGAA
rnacentral:rRNA from 1 species